GACGUUGAUAGGUUGGGUGUGUAAGUGCUGUGAGGCAUUGAGCUAACCAAUACUAAUUGCUCGUGAGGCUUGACCAU
rnacentral:rRNA from 1 species